GGGGUUGUAGCUCUGUGCUAGAGCGCUUGCCUUGCAUAUAAGAGGCACUGGGUUCGAUCCUCAGCACCA
rnacentral:tRNA from 1 species